rnacentral:tRNA from 1 species
AAAAUGCCAGCUUUGGGAGUUGGUGAUGAAGGUUCGACUCCUUUCUUUCUGA